rnacentral:rRNA from 1 species
GUCUCUGGCCACCCCACCCUGAACACUUGUGAUCUUGUCUGAUCUGGAAAGCUAAGCAGGGUCAGGCCUGGUUAGUACUUGGAGCAGAGAAG